rnacentral:lncRNA from 1 species
AUGAAAUCAGCUGCACCCCAGGAGGCUGGAGACCCAAGGGACAAGCCCUGUCCGCUAUGCACCAUGGAGCAGAAAAGCCGCCUCUGGAAAACACUGAAAUCACUGACACUGCUUCGGCUGCUGAAGAGCACAAACCGCAGGGUGCAGCGGCUGCACGCGGUGGCUGUGCGGUGCUGGCGCUCACUCACAGCACAGGGGCUGCCUGGCAUCACAUCACUGCUCCCCAGGGAAUGUCCCCACCUGCCAGAGCUGGAGGAGGCUGUGGACGACGCUGAGACCAGCUCGACCAGCAGCACCAUGGAUGCACCAAUGGACCCAGAGACAAGCACACCACCAGCAGCUGCGGAAGCCAAGCAGGACUUACUGGGGACACUUCCCCAGCGCUUCCACAUGCCAGCCCCCAAAGUGCUGUGCCGGCCUUCAGCCCAGCGCUGGGUCAAGCCCUGCUGCACCCGAUCCUGCGGAGAGAGCCUGGAACACACGCUCACCAUCCGCUACCCCCGGUGAUCACCAUCGGGCUGCCUGAGGAGUUGGAGAAGAGCUGCCAGGAGACCUGUGGGGUGAUGCACUCAGCCUCCUGCUAUGAAUAAAGGGGGUGGCCUAUGCCUUACCA